rnacentral:lncRNA from 1 species
GGAAGCAACACCAGAGAUAUUUCUGUCUCCAUUUGUACAUACAAAAGAGGCCAUGUGAGGACACAGGUGAGAAGACUUCAUCCACAAGUCGGGGAAGAGAGACCUCACCAGAAACUGACCCUGAGCUUGGAGUUAGAGCCUGCACAAUUGUGGUGGAGUCUCACUCUGUUGCCCAGGCUGGAGUGCAAUGGCACAAUUUCUGUUCACUCCAACCUCCGCCGCCCAAGUUCAAGUGAUUCUCCUGACUCAGCCUCCUGAGCAGCUGGGAUUACAGGUGUGCACCACCAUGCCCAGCUAAUUUUUCCAUUCCUCUCUUCUGAGCUCCUCUCUGGCCAACUUUAACUCAUCGAUUGGUUCUGCCACCCGCAACGUUGGCUCCAAAGGCCUGUAGCGUUGUUCUAAUACUUCGGUGAUAUCUCGGAAGGGCCCCUGACAAGACAGGAUGAGGAACAUAUUUUAUAUGGAAGAUUUUUUUGAGGUUAUCACUAACAAGACACAGCUGGAGUUACUGCAAGCACUGAGUGAAGACUGUGGGGCUAAUAAAAAGAAAUGAUUCACGCCUCAUUUAUGUUCACUUAUGCUUUACAUUAAUAGAAACCAAUAAUAGGAACCAGUUACCAUAAAAGUCAUGGACCGUAAAUAACACAAAUGGCAAAUAAGUAUCAUCUAGUACUUUUCACAGCUGGACAGGAGGAUUGCUAUAUUUGAAAGUAGUUAAUGGAUUUCUAUUGGAAUUUUACUUUUUAAAGAUAC